UGGGGAAUUUUGGACAAUUGGGCGAAAGCCUGAUCCAGCAAUGCCGCGUGUGUGAAGAAGGCCUUCGGGUUGUAAAGCACUUUUGUCCGGAAAGAAAUCCUUGGCUCUAAUACAGUCGGGGGAUGACGGUACCGGAAGAAUAAGCACCGGCUAACUACGUGCCAGCAGCCGCGGUAAUACGUAGGGUGCAAGCGUUAAUCGGAAUUACUGGGCGUAAAGCGUGCGCAGGCGGUUUGCUAAGACCGAUGUGAAAUCCCCGGGCUCAACCUGGGAACUGCAUUGGUGACUGGCAGGCUAGAGUAUGGCAGAGGGGGGUAGAAUUCCACGUGUAGCAGUGAAAUGCGUAGAGAUGUGGAGGAAUACCGAUGGCGAAGGCAGCCCCCUGGGCCAAUACUGACGCUCAUGCACGAAAAGGCGUGGGGGAGCAAAACAGGAUUAGAUACCCCUGGUAGUCCACGCCCUAAACGAUGUCAACUAGUUGUUGGGGAUUCAUUUCCUUAGUAACGUAGCUAACGCGUGAAGUUGACCGCCUGGGGAGUACGGUCGCAAGAUUAAAACUCAAAUGAAUUGACGGGGUCAUAGCUGUUUCCU
rnacentral:rRNA from 1 species